UACGUAGGAUGCAAGCGUUGUCCGGAUUUACUGGGCGUAAAGAGCGCGCAGGCGGUCGUUCAAGUCGCGUGUGAAAGCCCCCGGCUCAACUGGGGAGGGUCACGCGAUACUGAUCGACUCGAAGGCAGGAGAGGGAAGUGGAAUUCCCGGUGUAGUGGUGAAAUGCGUAGAUAUCGGGAGGAACACCAGUGGCGAAGGCGACUUCCUGGCCUGUUCUUGACGCUGAGGCGCGAAAGCUAGGGGAGCAAACGGG
rnacentral:rRNA from 1 species